rnacentral:misc_RNA from 1 species
UUCUGGUUGAAGAGGAUGUAAAAUGAGACCUCAAAUCUAGUUUAUGAAUUUAGAGUUACGUUUUUGUUUAUAAGUGCAUUUGUAUGUGAUGCUAUAGUCAUGAAGAAGGUUUACUUGUGGUGUGGAGAUGAUGGAAAGCAACAUGAAAACUUUCUAUGAUCUUUGAAAAAUCUAGUAUUUCUUUUGGUCAAGCUUUACCGGUCUGAAAUAACCCUAUCCAUAAUGAAGCUUUGGAGUGGUGGAGCUAGUGACAACCAGGAUUUAUAUGCUACAACUGCAUGUAGGAGGUAUUAUAUUAUCUAGUAUUUACAUGGGUUGCUAAAGCUAUAUUUGUG